GUUACUGAGUUGGAAACAUUCAGCAGGGCUCUUCCUCAAAUGAGCACAACUGCACAGUAAUUGAGCAAGAGACUCCCUCAUUCACAUCACUGCAAACAUCUUACCAGGUAAACGUCAUUUAUUAGAUUUCUGAAAGAGAAAAAAGGAGAGAAUAACACAGGACAGGACAGAAUAAUACAGAACUAACUUACAGAACUGUAGGGCUGCUUCUUAGUUGGGAUUGACCGAUUUGUUUUUUUCAGGGCCAAUACCGACUAUUAGUUAGCAAGGACACUGAUAACCAAUAUUUGGGGCUGAAUACUUCUGGAGGCUUAUCGGCAUAGUUUUCAUCCACUGAAGCAUGUUAAAAGCAUGUUCAAGAUCCGAUGGAACCAGUGCAGGAUGAGGCUUUCUCUCCUUCUAAUGUUCCUCUUGGCUCUGGCUUGCAGCUAUGACCUGCCCUGUAGAGGAAAUUAUAGUGAUGAUUCCUACAACGAAUUCUCUGCAAAGCACAUUCUACCAAAAGGAUUUAAGAACUCAGAAGACAACUGGAUUAAGCUCCUGCAAAAACAAAUGCAAUACCUAAAUAAAGAAAGGCUCUGUGGAAGAGUACCUUUGCAGACUUUCUUUAGGAAAGCUGAUGAAAAUGCAGUUAAAAACAUCUGUAACGGUCAAGGCUUUAAAUAUAGUGAUGGAAAUCUGUGCAUCAGUCAGGAGAGAUUCAAUCUUUUCAUAGUUGAAAGCAAGAGAAUUAAAAGUGGUUGCAAAAUAAAGAAAAUUAGUGAAACUAACAACGACAACCGUUUGCAUGUGAUUGUUGGCUGUGGGAGGGUUGAAAACACAUGUCUGCCUGUACACUUCCAUACUCAGACCAAAGAGGAACCACACAACAGGAUUGUAUGCCGUUACCCAUAAAUCAUUCAUUCUGCACUUACACAAAAACCCUUUUUGUUCCUUUACUCGUCUUCUUUACGCCACAGACGUGCCUCUUCUUUCAUGCUUUUCACUGCUGGAUAAAAGUCUCUGCUAAAUCAAAUAAGGUCAAUUAUAUUCUAAGAAGAACAUCGCACAUUAAAGAAUGAGGAUUCAGAUGUUCACUGCUUUUAUUAUCAAACGUCUUUAUAAAAUAUGAUGGUUUAAAGUUAUGAUGUAGAGAAUUUAACGACUGCCGAAUGUCUGUACUAUAAAUAAACACAUGAGAACAU
ensembl:lncRNA